rnacentral:rRNA from 1 species
GACGAACGCUGGCGGCGUGCCUAAUACAUGCAAGUAGAACGCACAGUUUAUACCGUAGCUUGCUACACCAUAAACUGUGAGUUGCGAACGGGUGAGUAACGCGUAGGUAACCUGCCUGGUAGCGGGGGAUAACUAUUGGAAACGAUAGCUAAUACCGCAUAAUAUUGAUUAUUGCAUGAUAAUUGAUUGAAAGAUGCUAUUGCAUCACUACCAGAUGGACCUGCGUUGUAUUAGCUAGUAGGUGAGGUAACGGCUCACCUAGGCGACGAUACAUAGCCGACCUGAGAGGGUGAUCGGCCACACUGGGACUGAGACACGGCCCAGACUCCUACGGGAGGCAGCAGUAGGGAAUCUUCGGCAAUGGACGAAAGUCUGACCGAGCAACGCCGCGGGAGUGAAGAAGGUUUUCGGAUCGUAAAGCUCUGUUGUAAGAGAAGAACGGGUGUGAGGGUGGAAAGUUCACACUGUGACGGUAUCUUACCAGAAAGGGACGGCUAACUACGUG